CAGCGCCACGAGUGGGAACCGAUAUUAUUGGGCCUAAAGCGUCCGUAGCAGGUUUGAUAAAUUACUUGUGAAAUCGCGCAGCUUAACUGUGCGGAUUGCUGGUAAGACUGUCAGACUAGGGACCGGGAGAAGUUGGAGGUAUUCGAGGGGGAGCGGUAAAAUGCGAGAAUCCCUUGAGGACCAUCUGUGGCGAAGGCGUCCAACAAUAACGGGUCUGACUGUGAGGGACGAAAGCUAGGGGAGCGAACCGGAUUAGAUACCCGAGUAGUCC
rnacentral:rRNA from 1 species